CACAAUUUUUUCUGGAGGAAAGCAUGAGUGUGUGGCCUCAGAAACGUUGCUUUGUUCUUGGCCUCUGCUUCCUCAUCUGGAAAGUGGGGAUAAUGGACUUAUCUCAGAGGUCCUUUGGAGGAUUCAAUUCAUAGUGCACAAAGCAUUGAACAUAGCAAGAGAAACAGUAUGUGCUUAACUGAUGCUGUACCCUUACGUUCCCAAUACUGUUCUGUCAAUCUGAACUUUAAAGGAAAGAUGAGAUGAAGCUUGAACUACCUGGUUAUCUGGAAAGUUCCUGAUGCCUAUGAAAAGGAAAGGGGAGGCUGGUGUCAGUGAGGAGAGGGGGUCAGAUCAAGGUCUGACUUCUGUAAAUAUCAAGUACAUUAACUGGCAUGUGUACUGGGCUGAACACAGGCCUUCACAAUGACUAAAGCCACCACAGAUUCCUCUCUAGCCACUCGAGACACUGCCUCAGAAAGAUGCUUCCAACACCUGAAGAAUUUCUGUGUUCCCUCUCCCAGUCUGGGGGGUCUAUUUACCAUAUCGCCAGCUUCUGGAACUACUGGGUCUGGGAUCCAGGCUGAAGCCAGAGGCAAGUGUACUUCAAAGCAUCUGGAUAUAAACACAAGUGUAUCAUUGAGAUUAGGAGGAUCACAUAUUUAGACUCCCAAAAAGUCGCUUUAUCCCACCAUAUAAAUGAUAUCCUAAAAUAUAUAAAAACAGACUUGAUGGAAAAAACCCACCCAAAGCCAGAACUUUUCUGGAAAUAGUUUUUUUUUAGUUUUAUAUAAAAUUAGCCAUUAUACAUUUUUUGCAAAAGCACUAAGAAUCUGUAGCAAAAAAAUAUAUAAGUCACACUCUAAAAUAUUACGAGUUUCUUUUCAAAAUACAUGUUGGAUGGAGCACCUUCACCGUCAUUGGGUAUCGGUGGUGGGGGGGUGGACAGUCAGUGUUUUCUAUAAUUGAAAAUA